rnacentral:snRNA from 1 species
GUGCUUGCUUCAGCAGCACAUAUACUAAAACUGGAAUGAUACAGAGAAGAUUACCCCCUUGUGCAAGAUGCCCCCUGCACAAGGAUGACACACAAAUUUGUGAAGCAUUCCAUAUUUAA